rnacentral:rRNA from 1 species
UGGGGAAUAUUGGACAAUGGGCGAAAGCCUGAUCCAGCCAUGCCGCGUGUGUGAAGAAGGUCUUCGGAUUGUAAAGCACUUUAAGUUGGGAGGAAGGGCAUUAACCUAAUACGUUAGUGUUUUGACGUUACCGACAGAAUAAGCACCGGCUAACUCUGUGCCAGCCGCCGCGGUAAUAACGAGGGUGCAAGCGUUAAUCGGAAUUACUGGGCGUAAAGCGCGCGUAGGUGGUUUGUUAAGUUGGAUGUGAAAUCCCCGGGCUCAACCUGGGAACUGCAUUCAAAACUGACUGACUAGAGUAUGGUAGAGGGUGGUGGAAUUUCCUGUGUAGCGGUGAAAUGCGUAGAUAUAGGAAGGAACACCAGUGGCGAAGGCGACCACCUGGACUAAUACUGACACUGAGGUGCGAAAGCGUGGGGAGCAAACA